GGUUAAGCGACUAAGCGUACACGGUGGAUGCCCUGGCAGUCAGAGGCGAUGAAGGACGUGCUAAUCUGCGAUAAGCGUCGGUAAGGUGAUAUGAACCGUUAUAACCGGCGAUUUCCGAAUGGGGAAACCCAGUGUGUUUCGACACACUAUCAUUAACUGAAUCCAUAGGUUAAUGAGGCGAACCGGGGGAACUGAAACAUCUAAGUACCCCGAGGAAAAGAAAUCAACCGAGAUUCCCCCAGUAGCGGCGAGCGAACGGGGAGCAGCCCAGAGUCUGAAUCAGUGUGUGUGUUAGUGGAAGUGUCUGGAAAGGCGCGCGAUACAGGGUGACAGCCCCGUACACAAAAAUGCACAUGCUGUGAGCUCGAUGAGUAGGGCGGGACACGUGGUAUCCUGUCUGAAUAUGGGGGGACCAUCCUCCAAGGCUAAAUACUCCUGACUGACCGAUAGUGAACCAGUACCGUGAGGGAAAGGCGAAAAGAACCCCGGCGAGGGGAGUGAAAAAGAACCUGAAACCGUGUACGUACAAGCAGUGGGAGCCCUGAUUUAUCAGGGUGACUGCGUACCUUUUGUAUAAUGGGUCAGCGACUUAUAUUCUGUAGCAAGGUUAACCGAAUAGGGGAGCCGGAGGGAAACCGAGUCUUAACUGGGCGUUAAGUUGCAGGGUAUAGACCCGAAACCCGGUGAUCUAGCCAUGGGCAGGUUGAAGGUUGGGUAACACUAACUGGAGGACCGAACCGACUAAUGUUGAAAAAUUAGCGGAUGACUUGUGGCUGGGGGUGAAAGGCCAAUCAAACCGGGAGAUAGCUGGUUCUCCCCGAAAGCUAUUUAGGUAGCGCCUCGUGAAUUCAUCUCCGGGGGUAGAGCACUGUUUCGGCAAGGGGGUCAUCCCGACUUACCAACCCGAUGCAAACUGCGAAUACCGGAGAAUGUUAUCACGGGAGACACACGGCGGGUGCUAACGUCCGUCGUGAAGAGGGAAACAACCCAGACCGCCAGCUAAGGUCCCAAAGUCAUGGUUAAGUGGGAAACGAUGUGGGAAGGCCCAGACAGCCAGGAUGUUGGCUUAGAAGCAGCCAUCAUUUAAAGAAAGCGUAAUAGCUCACUGGUCGAGUCGGCCUGCGCGGAAGAUGUAACGGGGCUAAACCAUGCACCGAAGCUGCGGCAGCGACACUGUGUGUUGUUGGGUAGGGGAGCGUUCUGUAAGCCUGUGAAGGUGUGCUGUGAGGCAUGCUGGAGGUAUCAGAAGUGCGAAUGCUGACAUAAGUAACGAUAAAGCGGGUGAAAAGCCCGCUCGCCGGAAGACCAAGGGUUCCUGUCCAACGUUAAUCGGGGCAGGGUGAGUCGACCCCUAAGGCGAGGCCGAAAGGCGUAGUCGAUGGGAAACAGGUUAAUAUUCCUGUACUUGGUGUUACUGCGAAGGGGGGACGGAGAAGGCUAUGUUGGCCGGGCGACGGUUGUCCCGGUUUAAGCGUGUAGGCUGGUUUUCCAGGCAAAUCCGGAGAAUCAAGGCUGAGGCGUGAUGACGAGGCACUACGGUGCUGAAGCAACAAAUGCCCUGCUUCCAGGAAAAGCCUCUAAGCAUCAGGUAACAUCAAAUCGUACCCCAAACCGACACAGGUGGUCAGGUAGAGAAUACCAAGGCGCUUGAGAGAACUCGGGUGAAGGAACUAGGCAAAAUGGUGCCGUAACUUCGGGAGAAGGCACGCUGAUAUGUAGGUGAAGCGACUUGCUCGUGGAGCUGAAAUCAGUCGAAGAUACCAGCUGGCUGCAACUGUUUAUUAAAAACACAGCACUGUGCAAACACGAAAGUGGACGUAUACGGUGUGACGCCUGCCCGGUGCCGGAAGGUUAAUUGAUGGGGUCAGCGCAAGCGAAGCUCUUGAUCGAAGCCCCGGUAAACGGCGGCCGUAACUAUAACGGUCCUAAGGUAGCGAAAUUCCUUGUCGGGUAAGUUCCGACCUGCACGAAUGGCGUAAUGAUGGCCAGGCUGUCUCCACCCGAGACUCAGUGAAAUUGAACUCGCUGUGAAGAUGCAGUGUACCCGCGGCAAGACGGAAAGACCCCGUGAACCUUUACUAUAGCUUGACACUGAACACUGGUCCUUGAUGUGUAGGAUAGGUGGGAGGCUUUGAAGUGUGGACGCCAGUCUGCAUGGAGCCGUCCUUGAAAUACCACCCUUUAAUGGCUGGUGUUCUAACGUUGGCCCCUUACCGGGGUUGCGGACAGUGUCUGGUGGGUAGUUUGACUGGGGCGGUCUCCUCCUAAAGAGUAACGGAGGAGCACGAAGGUUGGCUAAUCCUGGUCGGACAUCAGGAGGUUAGUGCAAUGGCAUAAGCCAGCUUGACUGCGAGCGUGACGGCGCGAGCAGGUGCGAAAGCAGGUCAUAGUGAUCCGGUGGUUCUGAAUGGAAGGGCCAUCGCUCAACGGAUAAAAGGUACUCCGGGGAUAACAGGCUGAUACCGCCCAAGAGUUCAUAUCGACGGCGGUGUUUGGCACCUCGAUGUCGGCUCAUCACAUCCUGGGGCUGAAGUAGGUCCCAAGGGUAUGGCUGUUCGCCAUUUAAAGUGGUACGCGAGCUGGGUUUAGAACGUCGUGAGACAGUUCGGUCCCUAUCUGCCGUGGGCGCUGGAGAACUGAGGGGGGCUGCUCCUAGUACGAGAGGACCGGAGUGGACGCAUCACUGGUGUUCGGGUUGUCAUGCCAAUGGCACUGCCCGGUAGCUAAAUGCGGAAGAGAUAAGUGCUGAAAGCAUCUAAGCACGAAACUUGCCCCGAGAUGAGUUCUCCCUGAGACCUGGAGUCUCCUGAAGGAACGUUGAAGACGACGACGUUGAUAGGCCGGGUGUGUAAGCGCAGCGAUGCGUUGAGCUAACCGGUACUAAUGAACCGUGAGGCUUAACCUU
rnacentral:rRNA from 1 species